rnacentral:rRNA from 1 species
CUACGGGUCGCUGCAGUGGGGAAUAUUGGACAAUGGGGGAAACCCUGAUCCAGCAAUGCCGCGUGUGUGAAGAAGGCCUGCGGGUUGUAAAGCACUUUCGGUUGGGAGGACUGCUUCUAGCACUAAUAUUGUUGGAAGUUGACGUUACCUUCAGAAGAAGCACCGGCUAACUCCGUGCCAGCAGCCGCGGUAAUACGGAGGGUGCAAGCGUUAAUCGGAAUUACUGGGCGUAAAGCGCGCGUAGGCGGCUAGAUCAGUCGGGUGUGAAAGCCCCGGGCUUAACCUGGGAACUGCAUCCGAUACUGUCUAGCUUGAGUACAGGAGAGGAGAGUGGAAUUCCACAUGUAGCGGUGAGAUGCGUAAAUAUGUGGAGGAACACCAAUGGCGAAGGCAGCUCUCUGGCCUGAUACUGACGCUGAGGUGCGAAAGCGUGGGGAGCAAACGGGAUUAGAUACCCGCGUAGUC